rfam:Brassica napus, WGS project CCCW01000000 data, contig: 8243
ACCCCUGAGUUUAAGCAUAUCAAUAAGCGGAGGAAAAGAAACUAACAAGGAUUCCCUUAGUAACGACAAACGAACCAGGAAGAGCCCAGCUUGAAUCCAAGCGUUCGAAUUCUAAUCUGGAGAAGCGUCAUCCUGGAAAGGGGCGCCAAAGAGGGUGAGAGCCCCAUCGUACCCGGACCUUGUCGCACUAGAGGCGUUGUCUACGAGUCGGGUUGUUUGGGAAUGCAACCCCAAUCGGACGGUAAAUUUUUUCCAAGGCUAAAUAUGGGCGUAGCGAACAAGUACUAUGAGG